UGAGACUUGGCGAAGUAGGAGCCCUGUGUGAUCGUGCGUCAGAGUCGGGGCUGAGACCAGCCCUGGCCAGGGCAGUUACCAGGACGGUCUCCGGAGGCCGGGAUUCGCGGAGGGUCCACCAGCAGGAAGAAACCCCAGGAGGAAGAAAACUCAGACAGAUCGCCGGGGAGGCAGCGCGGGAUCCCAGCCUCAGGCGUGCGCGGACGGUGUGCGGAUCCAUGAGGAAUCUCCACACUGUCUUCCACAAUGGUCGAACUAAUUUUCAUUCCCACCAACAGUGAUUCAAGUAGAAGUGGGUUUCACCAUGUUGGCCAGGCUGGUCUCGAACUCCUGAUUUCAAGUGAUUGGACUCCCAAAGUGCUGGAAUUACAGGCAUAAGCCACCAUGCCUGGCCUCCCCUAAUUUGCUUCUUUAAACCUCUCUACAUCAUCACAAGAUGGGUGUUACUAUGAUCACUAUUUUA
rnacentral:lncRNA from 1 species